GACGAACGCUGGCGGCGUGCUUAAAACAUGCAAGUCGAACGGGGUCCAUGGAGUGGCAACACUCCGGAAGACCGAGUGGCGAACGGGUGCGUAACACGUGAGGAACCUGCCCCGGAGACCGGGAUAACCCUCCGAAAGGAGAGCUAAUACCGGAUGUGCUCAUCGGACCGCCUGGUCUGGUGAGGAAAUGGAUUCCGCUCCGGGAUGGCCUCGCGGCCUAUCAGCUUGUUGGUGGGGUAACGGCCUACCAAGGCAACGACGGGUAGCUGGUCUGAGAGGACGAUCAGCCACACUGGGACUGAGACACGGCCCAGACUCCUACGGGAGGCAGCAGUUAGGAAUCUUGCGCAAUGGGCGAAAGCCUGACGCAGCAACGCCGCGUGGGGGAUGAAGGCUCUCGGGUUGUAAACCCCUUUCAGCAGGGACGAUUGUGACGGUACCUGCAGAAGAAGGACCGGCCAACUACGUGCCAGCCGCCGCAGUAACAC
rnacentral:rRNA from 1 species